UACGAAGGGGGCUAGCGUUGCUCGGAAUCACUGGGCGUAAAGCGCACGUAGGCGGAUUGCUAAGUCAGGGGUGAAAUCCUGGAGCUCAACUCCAGAACUGCCUUUGAUACUGGCGAUCUCGAGUCCGGGAGAGGUGAGUGGAACUGCGAGUGUAGAGGUGAAAUUCGUAGAUAUUCGCAAGAACACCAGUGGCGAAGGCGGCUCACUGGCCCGGUACUGACGCUGAGACGCGAAAGCGUGGGGAGCAAACAGGAUUAGAAACCCUUGAUA
rnacentral:rRNA from 1 species